rnacentral:rRNA from 1 species
GAUGAACGCUGUCUACAGGCUUAACACAUGCAAGUCGAGGGGAAACGCCGGGGAAGCUUGCUUCCCCGGGCGUCGACCGGCGCACGGGUGAGUAACGCGUAUCCAACCUGCCUCUGACUGAGGGAUAACCCGUCGAAAGUCGGCCUAAUACCUCAUGGCAUCGUCUGCGGGCAUCCAACGACGAUUAAAGAUUUCAUCGGUCAGGGAUGGGGAUGCGUCUGAUUAGCUUGUUGGCGGGGUAACGGCCCACCAAGGCUACGAUCAGUAGGGGUUCUGAGAGGAAGGUCCCCCACAUUGGAACUGAGACACGGUCCAAACUCCUACGGGAGGCAGCAGUGAGGAAUAUUGGUCAAUGGGCGGGAGCCUGAACCAGCCAAGUAGCGUGCAGGAUGACGGCCCUAUGGGUUGUAAACUGCUUUUAGGCGGGGAUAAAGUGAGGGACGUGUCCUUCAUUGCAGGUACCGCAUGAAUAAGGACCGGCUAAUUCCGUG